UACGAAGGGGGCUAGCGUUGCUCGGAAUCACUGGGCGUAAAGGGUGCGUAGGCGGGUCUUUCAGUCAGGGGGGAAAUCCUGGAGCUCAACUCCAGAACUGCCUUUGAUACUGAAGAUCUUGAGUCCGGGAGAGGUGAGUGGAACUCCGAGUGUAGAGGUGAAAUUCGUAGAUAUUCGGAAGAACACCAGUGGCGAAGGCGGCUCACUGGCCCGGUACUGACGCUGAUGUGCGAAAGCGUGGGGAGCAAACAGG
rnacentral:rRNA from 1 species